UGGCCCUACGGGAGGCAGCAGUGGGGAAUAUUGGACAAUGGACCAAAAGUCUGAUCCAGCAAUUCUGUGUGCACGAUGACGUUUUUCGGAAUGUAAAGUGCUUUCAGUUGGGAAGAAAAAAAUGACGGUACCAACAGAAGAAGUGACGGCUAAAUACGUGCCAGCAGCCGCGGUAAUACGUAUGUCACAAGCGUUAUCCGGAUUUAUUGGGCGUAAAGCGCGUCUCGGUGGUUAUGUAAGUCUGAUGUGAAAAUGCAGGGCUCAACUCUGUA
rnacentral:rRNA from 1 species